rnacentral:rRNA from 1 species
UGAACGCUAGCGGCAGGCUUAACACAUGCAAGUCGAGGGGGCAGCAUAGUAUGUAGCAAUACAUAUUGAUGGCGACCGGCGGAUGGGUGCGUAACGCGUAUGCAACCUACCUUUACAGGAGGAUAACCUUUCGAAAGGGAGACUAAUACUCCAUAGUAUUAUUUAGAGGCAUCUUUAGAUAAUUAAAUAUUUAUAGGUAAAAGCUGGGCAUGCGUAUGAUUAGUUAGUUGGUAAGGUAACGGCUUACCAAGGCGAUGAUCAUUAGGGGUUCUGAGAGGAAGGUCCCCCACACUGGUACUGAGACACGGACCAGACUCCUACGGGAGGCAGCAGUGAGGAAUAUUGGUCAAUGGGCGGAAGCCUGAACCAGCCAUGCCGCGUGCAGGAAGACGGCCUUAUUGGGUUGUAAACUGCUUUUAUGUGAGGAUAAUAUUCAUCUUGCGAGGUGGAAUGAAGGUAUCACAUGAAUAAGGAUCGGCUAACUCCGUGCCAGCAGCUGC